rnacentral:tRNA from 1 species
AAUGGUAAUUAGUUUAAAUUAAAAUAAUUGAUUUCGACUCAUUAGAUUAUGAUAAAUCAUAAUUACCAAU